rnacentral:misc_RNA from 1 species
AGAAUGUAAUCCAUCUAAUCAUUAAUCAUACAAAGUAUGGGGGCACAUACUCCUGCCAAAAGAGACGAAAUUUUAGAGACAAGUUACAAUUUUAGAGACAAUUUUUGACACUAUAAAUUCUUCCAAAUUUUCAUUAAAAUCCACAGCAAAUGGCACCACAGAGACAUUAGAUUGAUGUUAUUAAAAACCGAAGAGUAAAAGGCUUCUGCACUUUCUCUUUAGGCACCACUAGCGUAUAAUCGAGUCCAUUCCUUUGCUGAGAAGAUCCAA